AUUGAACGCUGGCGGCAUGCCUAACACAUGCAAGUCGAACGGCAGCACGGGCUUCGCUCUGGCGGCCAGUGGCGGACGGGUGAGUAAUGCAUCGGAACGUGCCCAGUAGUGGGGGAUAGCGCGGCGAAAGCGGGAUUAAUACCGCAUACGACCUGAGGGUGAAAGCGGGGGACCGAAAGGCCUCGCGCUAUUGGAGCAGCCGAUGUCGGAUUAGCUAGUUGGUGGGGUAAAGGCUUACCAAGGCGACGAUCCGUAGCUGGUCUGAGAGGACGACCAGCCACACUGGAACUGAGACACGGUCCAGACUCCUACGGGAGGCAGCAGUGGGGAAUUUUGGACAAUGGGCGCAAGCCUGAUCCAGCCAUGCCGCGUGCGGGAAGAAGGCCUUCGGGUUGUAAAGCGCUUUUGUUCGGGAAGAAAUCCAGUAGGCUAAUACCCCGGUGUUAUGACGGUACCGGAAGAAUAAGCACCGGCUAACUACGUG
rnacentral:rRNA from 1 species